GAUGAAGAACGUAGCGAAAUGCGAUACUUGGUGUGAAUUGCAGAAUCCCGUGAACCAUCGAGUCUUUGAACGCAAGUUGCGCCUCAAGCCAUUAGGUUGAGGGCACGUCUGCCUGGGCGUCACAUAUCGUUGCCUGAUGCCAGUUUCCUCAUGAUGGGUGACUGUGCAGGGCGAAUGAUGGCUUCCCGUGAGCAUUGUUGCCUCAUGGUUGGUUGAAAAUUGAGUCCUUGGUAGGGAGCGCCGUGAUAGAUGGUGGUUGAGUGACGAACGAGACCCAAUCAUGUGAGACCCCUACCGAAUUUGGCCUUCAUGACCCACAUGCGUCUUUGGAACGCUCAUGACGAGACCUCAGGUCAGGCGGGGCUACCCGCUGAGUUUAAGCAUAUCAAUAAGCGGAGGA
rnacentral:misc_RNA from 1 species